rnacentral:rRNA from 1 species
UGGGGAAUAUUGCACAAUGGGCGAAAGCCUGAUGCAGCAACGCCGCGUGAGUGAUGAAGGCCUUCGGGUUGUAAAGCUCUGUCUUUUGGGACGAUAAUGACGGUACCAAAGGAGGAAGCCACGGCUAACUACGUGCCAGCAGCCGCGGUAAUACGUAGGUGGCAAGCGUUGUCCGGAUUUACUGGGCGUAAAGGAUGCGUAGGCGGAUUUUUAAGUGAGACGUGAAAACCCUAAGCUUAACUUGGGGACUGCAUUUCAUACUGGAAAUCUAGAGUGCGGGAGAGGAGAAUGGAAUUCCUAGUGUAGCGGUGAAAUGCGUAGAGAUUAGGAAGAACACCAGUGGCGAAGGCGAUUCUCUGGACCGUAACUGACGCUGAGGCAUGAAAGCGUGGGUAGCAAACAGGAUUAGAUACCCCUGGUAGUCCACGCCGUAAACGAUGAGUACUAGGUGUAGGAGGUAUCGACCCCUUCUGUGCCGCAGUUAACACAAUAAGUACUCCGCCUGGGAAGUACGAUCGCAAGAUUAAAA